CUCUCCACAGUUUCUCAGGUGUUCUCUUGGUGGCUCUCACCGGAAGUUUUUUGCUUAGAGGCUUGGAGAUGGAGGAGUGGGAUAUGGAGGAGAAGCUGCCGGUCGCCAAGGAGGAGGUGGAGGCUGCGAGCGGCGGCGGCGGCGGCGGCGGCGGCGGCGAAGACGAGGAUGACGAAGAGGAGGCGCUGCCUCACGCCGAGGUGGUGGAUGUGUUUCAGGAGGGGCUCGCCAUGAUCGUUCAGGAUCCGCUGCUCUGUGACCUGCCUAUCCAGGUCACUUUGGAGGAGAUAAAUUCUCAGAUAGCUCUGGAAUAUGGCCAAGCAAUGACUGUCAGAGUUUGCAAAGUGGAUGGAGAAGUGAUGCCUGUUGUGGUGGUGCAAAAUGCCACAACCUUGGACCUAAAAAAGGCUAUCCAGAGAUAUGUGCAGCUCAAACAGGAGCGGGAAGGAGGCAUACAGCAUAUCAGUUGGUCAUAUAUAUGGAGAACAUACCAUCUCACUUUUGCUGGAGAGAAGCUAACUGAAGAUGGGAAGAAACUCCGAGAGUAUGGCAUCCGAAACCGAGAUGAGGUCUCCUUUAUCAAAAAACUGAGGAACAAAUGAGCCUUUUGAUGAAAGGAGGAUGCAGGAGGCUGCCAGGAUAAAUCAUCUUCUCAUUCAGCUAUCAACCAUUCCAAGCCCAGGAGUUUUGCUACCCUGCUGAGAUAUUUUCAUCCAGCCCCGAGCAUGACUGGAGAGAAAUGGGAUGUCAAGAGGGAGUUAGCUCCCAAGGAGCAAGAAGACUUGGACCGUGGUGCCUUGGGGGUGACCUGCCUGCUGGGCCCAGCAUCCUCUGAUGUUCUCGCUGUGUUUGCCACCUGUCCCUCCUCUGCACUUGAUGAUGCAUUUGAACCCUGUGGACCUCUGUUUUGUGUAAAACAAAGGAAAUGGGCUACGAUUUCUAUACACCCUGUUUCUAUUGAUGAGA